AACAGAUUUACUUCGGUAAUGACGUUAGGGAAGCGAGCGGCGGAUGGGUGAGUAACACGUGGGGAACCUGCCCCAUAGUCUGGGAUACCACUUGGAAACAGGUGCUAAUACCGGAUAAGAAAGCAGAUCGCAUGAUCAGCUUUUAAAAGGCGGCGUAAGCUGUCGCUAUGGGAUGGCCCCGCGGUGCAUUAGCUAGUUGGUAAGGUAAAGGCUUACCAAGGCGAUGAUGCAUAGCCGAGUUGAGAGACUGAUCGGCCACAUUUGGACUGAGACACCGCCCAAACUCCUACGGGAGGCAGCAGUAGGGAAUCUUCCACAAUGGACGCAAGUCUGAUGGAGCAACGCCGCGUGAGUGAAGAAAGUUUUCGGAUCGUAAAGCUCUGUUGUUGGUGAA
rnacentral:rRNA from 1 species